UGCCUGCAAGGCAGCCAGGGGCUGGGAGAGUCAAUGUGACCUGCCCCCUCCUGCCUUUAUGGCUGGCUGGAGUCGGGGUCUCUGAGGUGGGACUCCAGGCCUCUCUCCUCCAGUGCAUGCCCACCCCCUUCCCUGGCAGAGCUAAUGGUGCUCCCAAUAAAACAGCAGCUGCCCUUUCUCUCUGUGGGACCCACUCUCUCCUAGCUCUACGGUCAGGGAGUCAAUGUCCAAAGAGGGAGACCGUUUGCCUCCUGCACUGGAGUCUCAACAUUGGUUGCUACUUAAUAACCAUCAGCUGCUUGGCAUGUGCUUGGCCCUCUCCUAUCCUCGCAACACCUCCUGGGGGGGGGAAGACUCACAACCUCUUUUGCUUUUGGAGCAGUACAGCCUACAAAAGACCCAAAGCCAGGGUAAGGACUACCCAGACCAUCGUCUUUACUGUGGAUGCAAGGCUGAAGCCACUGCCUCCCUUGCUUUAGGCGUCUCCUGUCCUGAUGAACCCCAGAAUCACAACACGCUGCUCUGGAAAUUCAGAAGCCAGAGCUCUAAUCUAGUUCUACCACUUUCUGUGUGACUUUUGGCAGGUCCUUUGGCCUUUAUUUAAGACUGUGUCUGCUUCCCUCUCCCCUGAGACGAAUGAGGGAGUUGGACCCCCUUGAUGUUAACUUACAAAAAGAAAGAGGAAAAAGCCAAUGCCGGGGUGCCUGGGUGGCUUAGUCAGUUAAGCGUCAGACUCUGG